AUUACAGCCACAGCGGGCUCCAGGCUCUGAGCUGUCUGCACAGAGCUUGACACGGGGCUCGAACUCAGGAACCGUGAAAUCACGACCUGAGUGGAAGUUGACUGAGCCACCCAGGUGCCUCUGAGGGAACCCACUUCUCAAGCAACUUCUCUAGGAGCUUUCAUUCACCCUGCCUGACCACCCAGGCGCCCCGGGGGUGGGGGGAGGGGGGGGCGUCUCCCUCCUCGGCCCUGAUCUGCCCUGAUCUGCCCUGAGGCCGUAUCGGCGGAGAGAAUCCCGUGGCCGACUGUGAACACCACCUGCUGAGCUUUGCCGAGAGUUCCCAGCCACCCUUCCGCAGCCCAGAUCUGCCUGCGUUUCCCUGACUUGCAAAUGUUUCUACGGAGGGUCCAUCCCACACUCUGCAGGCUCCCUGAAGAUGAUCCCUGUUCCUUGAAGACAACCGGUCGAGCUGCAUGCCUGAAUGCGGGAUGCCUGCUCCAUACAGACCCACAGCCCUGCAGAGAAGUCACAGAGACAGGCCCAGCACAGAGUCUAGCUUAGGACAGCCACCCAGGGCUCCUGCACAGAGCCUGGAGCUGGGAAGAGAGAAAACUGUCUGUGAGUUGAUUGUCGCUGCCAGGCUCAGGAGGAACAGUUUUCGUUUUGAACAUGGGUGGGAGUGGCACCCCUGGCAGGCGCACUUCCAGCGGUGAAUGUGGGUGGGAAUCACCUUAGAAGCCACAUAACAUUUGCACCUUCUCCUUUCAUCGUUUUCGAAAGCCCUGUCCUGCAAGAUUGGCUGAGGGCUGAAGGUCAGGUCUCCAUUUCAAGGGGGAAAUCUACGGACGCCUCCAAAUGUGGCCAAGGGAGGGACCGGGGAAUCCAGCGGGCAUUCCUGCACAGGACAGCGGCGCCUGGACCCCACUGAGGCCGGAACAGCGCCAGGAAAGACCCACGCACAGAAGGGAGCCGCGGAGAGCCUCCCCCGGGGUGCGCCCCCCCCACGCGGCCGGCACACCUCAGACGACGGGGACAUGCAGGGGACUCGCGCGUGUAUCAGAAACGGUGCCAUUUCACUGCCCACGACGGGAGCUUCCCGGAAAGUUCUGAAAGGACAUGCGACAGACUGGGGCUUGACAAGCAAGAGGACUCUCUGUAAGAGGCCAGUCUGCAGUGGAAAAGGGAAGCCCACGGCCGGGCACAGAAGUGCCUCGCGUCGCCUGUUCUGUUUCCCUUUUCAGUACCCGUCCUCUCUGCAGAUUCGGGGGCUUCGGCUUCCGUGCGAGUGUUCGCCCACGCGUUCGCCCGUUUACGCAGUCGGCUGCACCGCACUCUUGGAUUCCGAAGCCCGGAGAGUAAAGGCCAAGAUCCUGAACAUCCGAUUCCCAGAAGACCCAGCAUAGCAGCCCUCCCCCAGCGCUGUCCCAGCCCUCUGGGCAGCCAAGAGGCUGGAAGAUGAGGAGGCCACACACCGGAGGGAUGUGGGACCUGGAAUCUGCUACCGGCUUGUAUACUGGCCACCGGCCCCAGACAGAGGGAGACACAGAAUCUGAAGCAGGCUCCAGGCUCCAGAGCGGUCAGCCCAGAGCCUGAUGCGGGGCUCGAACUCAUCAACCAUGAGAUCACGACCUGAUCUGAAAUCGGAUGCCUAACGACUGAGCCGCUCUCAGCGCCCCUUCCUUUCUUCCUUUUAAAGGAGCAUGGCUGAGCUGGUGACAGGAACACAGUUCCUUACCAUGUCUUCUAACCCUGACUCAUGGCGCCUCUUUCUGCCUCCAUGUUGUCACCCUUCCUUUCGGCUCAGAAAGGGAGCCGAGGGGACUGCCCCAGCACAGGUUUCUGGCUUCAAAACAGAAGGACGGAAGUGCCUACCCAAAGGAAACCGUUAGGCCCAGAUAGCAUCUCAGUCACCCAAGGUAACUUGCAGCUGCACCCCACGCCCUGCCCCAGGCCUUCCCUUGCCCAGUGAGAACCCAUAGCCCACGGUGCGAACAAACUCGGCCUCUGCCAUGCUCCGGGGUCUCAAGAUCUGCAGAGUAGAAAGCUGCUGCAGCUUUGGGCCCUAGGCAGAGACCUUCACUGGAGGCAGGAAUGGAAAAUGGGGAGAAGGGGGUCGGGGGGGGGGGAGCGACAGCUCUGAGCUCAGUAUCAGCAGCCAUGAGUAGGGGUGGGGGGUGUGCCCCCCUUCUGCCCCUCCUGCCCCUCCAGGAGAUCCCCAGAAGCCAGAGUCGCGAUAGCCCGCUGGUAAACCCUCUGUUUUUGCUGGGUCACCUGGGAUUGUGACUUGCUGCCCUAUGGGCUGGGAGAAGCUGACAGCCUAAGGGGAAGGGAAAGUGGCUCGGAGGGGGUGGUUCCCCUCCCUCUCUGGGGGGCUGGCUGUCUCAUCAGGACCCACUUCCUUUACUUUCUCCCACGCCCCCUUCACACAGCCUUGCAGUCUGAACCAGCCGAGCAGUAAAUAAAGGCCAGGGCAGGAUGAAGAACAGGGAGCAGUAGAGACACAGCCAGGGCAGGGAUCCCAUAGUGAGCCCGUAUCACCACGGGCAGCCGGACGCACAUGGCAGGCCCUCAACAGAUACUUGGUGAGUGAGUGGACAAACGAAUAAGUGAAGCAAAUUAGUAGAAUCUUUGUCUUUAAAUCGAAGACAAAGCCUUUUCCAUAGAUAGGUCUCCAAGGGGAGAAAAGACCCACGGGGAGAAAAGAUCAUUGAAGGCCAUGAGAAGUUGGGCAGUAACUUAAUUUUUGAACAGACUUGUCAAGAGCUCAUUCAGUCAGCUCUUAGUAAGCGGCCACAGCGUACUGCUGAUGGUCUAUUUUUAAAAUGAAGAGCAGGAAGGGGCACCUGGCUGGCUGGGUUGGAAGAGCAUACGACUCUUGAUCUCGGGGUCAUGAGUUCGAGCCCCACAUGGGGUGUAGAGAUUGCUUAAGUAACUAAAGCUUUAAAAAAAAUUAAGAGCAAGGAACCCAACAAAUAUUCUCGCAUGACUGCAAAUAAUGAACUUUAAAAAAAUAGAUCUUUCAGCCCUCAGUUCAGGGAAUGUGGCAAAAACAAAACAACUCAUUCUGCCGCAGGUGACUAUCCUUGAGGAACGGAGUUGAAAACGUUGAAAGGAAAGCAUAAAGACUUAGGGUUUUUAUGUGUCGACGGCGUGGCCAUGGAGGGUUUCCCAGCGGAAGACGGUAGCCGUAUUUCAUGUGCGGAAGGUCAAUUGAGGAGGAAGGCAGCAGGGUAGCAAUGGAGCCAUAGGGAAGACGUUGAAGUGUGUGGAGAACCGUCAGCAGGGAUCGGAGACCUCAUGAGGAAGGCUUUUGAUUGGCCCUUUGGGGGUCAGGAGGUUGGCUACACAGGGAAGUCGAGCAAAUAAGUUGGUAUAUCGAAGCCAGUGGGAGAGAAGUUUCUCACUGAUGGUGAAGGGAGGUACGAAUAUGCAAGGGGUGGCGUGGGGGGACUAGAAUGAGCUAGACGGGACUAGAAUGAACUCUGGUGCUGGAUUGGAAUGGGAGGUAAUGGUGUGAAGUCAUGGCUUUCAGCCUGUAGAUAGCUGUAAAUAGCAAUGCAUAUACACACAUGCGUCUAUUUCUUAGUUUGAGCCACUGAGAGAGCGUAGGAGCAGUGACACCCCAGUAGCAAUCAGUGCACCCAGAGCCCAGGUCUUGGUUUCUAAAUACCAUUCUCCACUAAAGGAACACAAGCUCCUUGGAGAAAAUGGGUGAUGACAGGGCUGGGGCAGAUAAAGAACAAGAUGAGCCUGGAACUUGUUGUUUUGACAGAAAAUAUGGAAGUUCUCAAUGAAUGACAGAGAGACACUAAAAGGACACCGAAGCCCGCUUACAGGAGUAUCGGCUUAGGUCACGAUCUCAUGGUCGUGAGUUCGAGCCUCACGCCGGGCUCUGUGCUGAGCAUACAGCCUGCUUGGGAUUCUCUCUUUCCC